UACGUAGGGGCAAGGCGUUGUCCGGAAUUAUUGGGCGUAAAGAGCUCGUAGGCGGUUUGUCGCGUCUGCCGUGAAAGUCCGGGGCUCAACUCCGGAUCUGCGGUGGGUACGGGCAGACUAGAGUGAUGGUAGGGGAGACUGGAAUUCCUGGUGUAGCGGUGAAAUGCGCAGAUAUCAGGAGGAACACCGAUGGCGAAGGCAGGUCUCUGGGCAUUAACUGACGCUGAGGAGCGAAAGCAUGGGGAGCGAACAGG
rnacentral:rRNA from 1 species